GCAGUUUAAUAUUGAAGAUGGACUCAUGCGCAACUCCUAGACCACCACUCUAGUCUCCCAAUUUUCCCUUUCUUAAUAUUCAUCAGCAACUACCUUCGGACGUUAACACAAUGGAAACCAACAGUUAUCCAAGUUCCCAGACAGGAUUUUAAGCUCAGAAUAAUUCAAUUCCCUGUGUCAAAAGCUCCUUGUGCUGGAAACACGAAAGAUCAGCAUGACCUCAGACAUGCAAAAUAGUAUCUAUGGUACUAGUUUUGAAAAUCUCAAAUAAGGAACAGAUACUAGAUUCCCAAUUGCAAAAUGCACUUAUCUUCAGGACUGAAGUAUGCCACAGCACAGACCAAGUAAUUCAGUAUUUAGCCUUUCUUCUAAUCUACUGCCUUGAAUUUCUGAGAUGGAUUCUCGCAUUUAAUUGGACUCCAUGUUCCUGUGAAGCUUGAAACAAGGGUAGAGACUUCUUCUUCUGUGCAUAUCAGAUAUUUUCAGCACAUGGCCUUCUGAAGUUGCUGCUUAUUGCAUUUCUUUGCAAAGAAAUGAGCUACCAGAAAGUGGACUGGUUUUUGCAUCAUUGUAUAUAGAGCAGAUAUUGAAUUCCAGAAAUAAGUUUUCGAGAUGUUUUUGCUAA